AGUGAUCCAUCUGUUCGGUGUUGAGGAUCUCUGAGUCGUCGUCUCUGUGACGUCGGUCCGGAUUGUCUGCCUGGAAACACCGCGGAGCUGAACGGAACCGGCGGCGGCACAGACGGGGGACCCGCUGCUGGGGGUCCGUUAGGUGUGAACUUAGGUUGGAGCUGAUCAUGGGAGGAGGUCAGAGCCACGAGGAGAAGGAUGAGGAGAGACCCGGGAAAACCAAGGAAGACCAGGAGGUCGACAGAGCUGGAAGCUCCGCCUCUAAAGGUGAACAAAGCAAAUGUUCUUCAGACACUCUGGGAGAGCUGCCCCAGUGCAUGAUGGGAGAUAAGGAAGUGGACGAUAUGUCUUUCAUGAUCUCGUGCACCAACUGGUACUGAAGAGCCGAAGACCAGAAAGAUGCUCAUGCACAGUCUGAGGUCUGUCUCAAGGGAGGGGAGGGGGUGUACACCCGUGCAUGACCCCCCCACUGCCCCAAAAAGAUACAGAAUCCAGUUGAAGAAUCAGGAUCUGACUCUUAUGUGGUUUUGUAAAUGUAGUAUCUGGAUCAGCAGCGGUUGGAUCCGCUAACAGGACGUUUCCUGACGGAUGUCAGUCUGAACACACAGAUAAUAAUGUGUAUUCCUAUAAUGAUGUAGUACAUACAUGUAAUCGUUGCUAAAUAAUCGUAUCUUAUCACAGUUUAUAUAAUAAUAUAACUGAACCAUAAAUAACUAAUAGGAUUUGAUUCUAUUGACAAUUAUUUUGUGUUUUUUGUUGGGAAAAGAAACCAACAGCUGAAAGUGAAGUCAAGAUUACUUUAAUCUUUUCUCAAUAAAAACAUACGUCCCAUAAAAGUGGAGAGUUCUUCCUGCAGAGACCAAGCUUCAAGUCCAAACUGUAAAGUGAUCAAGUUCAUUUGGGUUCUUCCUUGGGUGUAAAGGUGUCCAGGUCCGGUCCUGGAGGGCCGCCUCCUGCUGGUUUACCUAAAAUCCUGCCGUAUCUGCUGCUGAUUACCUGAUCAGGUGUGUUUGGCCAAUCAGGAGCUUCAAUGACGGGUUGGUUGGAAAGCGUGUGGGACACGGCCCUCGAGGCCUGGAGUCAAAGGAGAGGAAAAUCUUUAUGAAAAACAUUCAUAUUUGUGUUUAUUAGGGAUGCAACAAUAUUCAGUAUAAAAGCAAGUGGGAGAAAUAAAAGUUUGAGCUAAUUAGAGGCUUAUCUUUAUGGAAUAACUCUAAAGGAGCACGAAUAAACGAAUAAAUGACAGCUGAGGAAUCCUCCACUUUACUGGUGCUGCUGUUAUUUGUUUGGACUUCAAUAACAUAACACUUGAAUCUGUUAUGGAUUUAAAGUGUUUGAGUUUAGAUUAUGUUUGACUUCCAGCUGUCAAAACUUUAGAGAACUGCUUAAAUUGUUGCCGUUUGUGUUGAUGUUUACUGGAGUUCUAUUUAGAUGUGGUUCUGAAAUACACGGCAAACACUUUGAACUUGAGAAAAAUCUGAUUUUUUACGUUAUUUCUGUCUGCAAAAUAAAUCAGAAUCUGUAGAA